rnacentral:rRNA from 1 species
UAGGGAAUCUUCGGCAAUGGGGGCAACCCUGACCGAGCAACGCCGCGUGAGUGAAGAAGGUUUUCGUAUCGUAAAGCUCUGUUGUAAGAGAAGAACGUGUGUGAGAGUGGAAAGUUCACACAGUGACGGUAACUUACCAGAAAGGGACGGCUAACUACGUGCCAGCAGCCGCGGUAAUACGUAGGUCCCGAGCGUUGUCCGGAUUUAUUGGGCGUAAAGCGAGCGCAGGCGGUUUAAUAAGUCUGAAGUUAAAGGCAGUGGCUUAACCAUUGUUUGCUUUGGCAACUGUUAAACUUGAGUGCAGAAGGGGAGGGUGGAAUUCCAGGUGUAGCGGUGAAAUGCGUGGAUAUAUGGAUGAACACCGGUGGCGAAAGCGGCUCUCUGGCCUGUAACUGACGCUGAGGCUUGAAAGGGUGGGGAGCAAACAGG